rnacentral:rRNA from 1 species
CAGUAGCCGCGGGAAUACGGAGGGGGCUAGCGUUGUUCGGAAUUACUGGGCGUAAAGCGCACGUAGGCGGCUAUUCAAGUCAGAGGUGAAAGCCCGGGGCUCAACCCCGGAACUGCCUUUGAAACUAGAUAGCUAGAAUCACGGAGAGGUAAGUGGAAUUCCGAGUGUAGAGGUGAAAUUCGUAGAGAUGUGGAGGAACACCAGUGGCGAAGGCGACUCUCUGGUCUGUAACUGACGCUGAGGAGCGAAAGCGUGGGGAGCGAACAGGAUUAGAUACCCCGGUAGUCCCUGUCUCUUAUAC